GUUAAAAACUAACUACAUUCAACCAGUUCAAUCAAUUUUCAUCUUUCCCCCUUUCCUCCGGUUUCUUAAAAAAAAAACAAUUUUUCGGCGAUGGAUAUUGCAGAGAAAGAGGAAUAAGGCUUAAAUCAGACCGUGGGUAGGGUUUUAGAGAGAGAGAGAGGGAAUCAAUUACCGAAGAAACAGCGAUGGCCACAAAUACUAAAUCGAGUAAUUUAUCGAAACUGAAGCCCGGAGUUGGAGAUGGUCCUUCUUCUUCAAAACCCAGAAUCGAUACAUCUGGAUCGAUAAAGAAACUUAUUGGGGGAUCAAUCAGGAAUUCUGCAGCUGAUUCCAAAAAUAGAUCCAUCUUCAGCUCUGGCUCUAAAAUGAUGAAGAAAACGUCUACUCAAACGAAAGAUGAAAAGAAAACUGCGAAAAAAACCAGAGAGAAGAAAGUGUAUGCUUUGGCUGGCCAGAAAUUUGAUGUUCCUGAAGAGCGAGAGCCAUUGAGAAUAUUUUAUGAAUCGUUGUCUAAGCAGAUUCCUUCUAGUGAAAUGGCUGAGUUUUGGUUAAUGGAACACGGCAUGCUGUCACCUGAGAGGGCAAGAAAAGCUCACGAGAAGAAGCAGAGGAAGCAAAAGCAGCUACGUUCAGGAACUCCCAUAAAAUCUCCACCGCCCUCCACAUCAAGUAGACCCGAUAGCUCCAAGAAGCCUCAGCUAGUUCCCAAGAAUGGUGACGUAAAAGCAAAGAAGCGGAUAAUGGAAGACAGCGACGAUGAUGAUGAUUUCGUGCUAAGCCACAAGAGGAGAAAAGGCUAAACAAACCAUACUCAAAAAGCCAUCUGUUUGUACUUUGUACAGAAAUUACAGCUUCAGCCUCCAGAGUCUUGAUUUGACAGAGAGAUUGAAUGCUAAAUCUUGAUAGCCAGAUUUGUCUUAUUGGUCUAUAAAUGCUCGUUGCCAAGGCCGAGGAUAGCCUCUGCCACGGAAAUGCUGCAACGUGACCGUGUUAUGGAACAUCAGCAGAGGGAAAAAAAUCAUUAAAAAACUCCCCAAAUGUUAAAGGAAGCUAAGAGAAAGAUGCAGAAGGAAGCAUGAUCCAGGUCAGAAAACCAAAUUUAGCAUUCAUAAAUACACACAUGGCUCUACAUGUGACACAAACACAGAAAAUAAAUAUCUACAUUGCUCAAUAAAUACACACACACAUUGAACUUAGAUAAAAUAAAAAAUUGAUCUUGAAACUUGUCAUGGUGCAAACAUGGUCCUAACAUGAAUCUCCCCAAAGUUUUAUGGGAUUGAACAACUGAUCCAGUUUGCAUUGGGUGGGAUGGAUUUGUUGUUGCCUGAAUUGGAGAGUGGAGUUUGGCAGCUCAUUGAUUGGGGAGAGAGAGAGAGAGAGAGAGAGAGAGAGAGAGAGGGAGAGUUGAUGGAUGGUGAGCAUUGAGUGUAGGGGCCAUCACUGUUUAAGCAUUAGAUGGAAUAGGACAAACCACAGCUUUCUCUUAUGUGGCAACACACACUAAACACACACUGAGGGUGAGAUAUUUGACAUGGUAAGAGUGAAACAUUUGAUCUCAAACCAAUAGCAUUAGGCACAAGCUUUCAUCCAUUGGAAUUGGGCAAAGAGUUAUCCACAAUUGAAUUUCGUAUCCAUUUGCAUACAAUUAAUUUUGCACUGUUUAGUACUUACUAUAUAACAGUGUUUUGUGUUGUAAUUUUGUCAUAUUUGGGGAAAAAAUGUUGUGUGUUUAUUACUAUCCGUGAAUGUGAUUAAUUAAAAUUAUACAGUAGUCAAAAGUGGUGGAAAUUUUGUGACAGAGUGGUCAAACUAAAGGUUUUCUGCUUAUUUAUGACA